rnacentral:rRNA from 1 species
CCUACGGGGGGCAGCAGUGAGGAAUAUUGGACAAUGGGCGAAAGCCUGAUCCAGCCAUGCCGCGUGAGUGAUGAAGGCCCUAGGGUUGUAAAGCUCUUUCAGCGGGGAAGAUAAUGACGGUACCCGCAGAAGAAGCCCCGGCUAACUUCGUGCCAGCAGCCGCGGUAAUACGAAGGGGGCUAGCGUUGUUCGGAAUUACUGGGCGUAAAGCGCACGUAGGCGGAUUGCUAAGUCGGGGGUGAAAUCCCGAGGCUCAACCUCGGAAUUGCCUUUGAUACUGGCUGUCUUGAGUCCGGGAGAGGUGAGUGGAAUUCCUAGUGUAGAGGUGAAAUUCGUAGAUAUUAGGAAGAACACCAGUGGCGAAGGCGGCUCACUGGCCCGGUACUGACGCUCAUGUGCGAAAGCGUGGGGAGCAAACAGGAUUAGAUACCCCAGUAGUC